rnacentral:rRNA from 1 species
AACGAACGCUGGCGGCGUGGAUAAGACAUGCAAGUCGAGCGCUCAUUUUCCUGUAGCAAUAUAGGGAAGUGGGAGCGGCGCAAGGGUGCGUAACACGUGGGUAAUCUGCCUUAAAGUUCGGAAUAAUUCCGCGAAAGCGGGACUAAUGCCGGAUGUGACCGAGAGGUUAAAGCUGGCCGCAAGGCUGGCGCUUUUAGAUGAGCCCGCGGCCUAUCAGCUAGUUGGCGGGGUAACGGCCCACCAAGGCUAAGACGGGUAGCUGGUCUGAGAGGACGACCAGCCACACUGGAACUGAGACACGGUCCAGACACCUACGGGUGGCAGCAGUCGAGAAUUUUUCUCAAUGGGCGAAAGCCUGAAGGAGCGACGCCGCGUGAGGGAUGAAGGGCUUCGGCCUGUAAACCCCUGUCAUUUGCGAACAAACCUUACCUGUUAACAGCGGGUGAACUGAUAGUAGCGAAAGAGGAAGGGACGGCUAACUCUGUGCCAGCAGCCGCCGUAAAAC